UACGUAGGGUGCGAGCGUUGUCCGGAAUUACUGGGCGUAAAGAGCUCGUAGGUGGUUUGUCGCGUUGUCCGUGAAAAACUCACAACUCAAUUGUGGGCGUGCGGGCGAUACGGGCAGACUGGAGUACUGCAGGGGGAGACUGGAAUUCCUGGUGUAGCGGUGGGAAUGCGCAGAUAUCAGGAGGAACACCGGUGGCGAAGGCGGGACUCUGGGCCGAUACUGACGCUGAGGAGCGAAAGCGUGGGGGAGCAAACAGG
rnacentral:rRNA from 1 species